UUUGCCCCCGGUUGAGUACGGAAAUAUGUGUUUAAACAUGUUGGACAGUUUCCUUAAUUAAGGGUGGCCAAAGUAAAGUUGCAUGCGGCACGGCGUCAUUCCUGAAUAGAAAUGGUGCAGCCGACUGCAGCGAUAGCU
rnacentral:snoRNA from 1 species